rnacentral:rRNA from 1 species
ACUCCUACGGGAGGCAGCAGUGGGGAAUAUUGGACAAUGGGCGAAAGCCUGAUCCAGCAAUGCCGCGUGAGUGAUGAAGGCCUUAGGGUUGUAAAGCUCUUUUACCGGGAAGAUAAUGACUGUACCGGGAGAAUAACGCCCCGGCUAACUCCGUGCCAGCAGCCGCGGUAAUACGGGAGGGGGCUAGCGUUGUUCGGAAUUACUGGGGCGUAAAGCGCACGUAGGCGGCUUUGUAAGUCAGAGGUGAAAGCCUGGAGCUCAACUCCAGAACUGCCUUUGAGACUGCAUCGCUUGAAUCCAGGAGAGGUGAGUGGAAUUCCGAGUGUAGAGUGAAAUUCGUAGAUAUUCGGAAGAACACCAGUGGCGAAGGCGGCUCACGUGGACUGGUAUUGACGCUGAGGUGCGAAAGCGU